ensembl:lncRNA
GACUGCGCAGGCUCCAGCGAAGCGCUGUGGGCUUGGUGCGGGCGCAGACGUCCUACCCCGUCUGGUCAGCGCUAGUCAGGGUUGGUUUUCGGGUGUUUUUUUUUGUGUUUGUUUUGUCUUGUCUUGCUUUGUUUGCCUCCUAAGGACAGUACCUUUUGGAGGGACAGUGUCAGUAGAAGGAGAGACGGUGGGAGAGUUCCAUGGUGUGCUGGCCUGACAGCGCAUCGGCCUCUGUGCCUUCUGAAAGCUCUGCGCUGUGGUACCUGUCUUCUGGUUCUACGAAUUUCAAUCAGUGUGACAGUGCCUAAAAGCAUCACAGACAACCACAGUUUACAUGUAUAAGACAGUAUGACAGUUAUAAUAGCCUUAAACACUUGAACCGUCACCAUACACAAGUACAGUGCUAAAUUUUUCACGGAUUGUCUCACUUAAGCCAGCCAACAGCCUUAUAAGGUUUUGGUCCCACCGCUCCAGUGAAAUGGCUGUUCUCAACGUCACCAGUGAGUUCUGUCUUGCAAAAUUCAUUAUUCAGUCCUCAUUUCUCUCAACAAUGGACAGAAUUGAUAGCUCUCCUUGGGUCUUCUUAGGUCUUUGGGGUGCCACACCCUCCCUACCUUUCUCUUCACAAUUUCCUUUGCAGACUUCUCUUUCUGACUGAGAUCGGCCCUGCUACAUAAAGGGUUGAUCUGGGCUUGAAGACUGGCAACAAUGGAAUGUCUUUAUGUUGCUCUCAGUGUAGCCACGCAGAUGCAUUUGGGGUCUGAAUGGAUCAGAUGCUCCUACAUUUGUCAUCACUCCCAUGUUCUUGAAUAAAUGCAGCCUGAUUUUCCCUCCCAUUUGACAAAGAUUCCUCAACUCAGAAGUCAGGAAAGUACCAUUCUAGCCAACACCAAUCCUGAAUCCUGACUGACUGAAAUUUGGUAAUCUAUGAUGUAUCUGAACUUCAUUUUUCUCCUUUGUUACAUGAGAAACAUUUCAUUUAUGUUUCUUCCAAAUCUAAUAUUUUUAAAAAUAUUUCAAACUUUUAGCUGAGUGGCCACAAUGUGCUAGGCGUAAUGCAAGGGUAUUAUCACAGUUGUGGUAAUCACCACUUAACUCUGGAAGAUGCUCACAAUGUAGCAGAGGGUUAAAUAAAGACAAAUAGGAAUAAUCACAGGGCUGUAUAUAAAUGUCAUGUGAAGAGUAUAUACCCAGCACUAAAGGAGAUGUGUAAUGGGAGAGGUCUGUUCCUUUAAUGCUGGACUGUGCAGAUAGCACUUGAGCAAGACCUUGAAGAUGGCCAAGCUAAGGAGGAGUGCAUGCAAGGUGGGGGCAGCAUUAGGAAAAUCAUAGAAGCUGCCCAUAUCAAAAUCCCAGUCAGUCUUUAGGAAUCAUCUGGGUGCUGCUUAUACCACCACUGGACACUAGAUGUCACAAGCGAGAAGAAUUCGAGAUGGUCCCUGCUUGUUUGGAUUUAUGGUUCCAGAUGCAGAUCUGCAUAUUCAGAUGAAGCCCGUGUACCCUGUGCUAAAUGCUAGGGGUCAGUGGGAAAAAAAUGCAUCCCUCAUUUUCAGUUUACAUAGUAAGAGAUGGGAUUAUGCCUUCUCAUAAAGAGUAGUGGAUUCAUCAAGCAUAAGUAAGGAAUUUAGAUGCUGGGAACACAAUUCCUAAUAUUG